AUGUCCUUACUUGAACAGGAUCUGUUCUGUAGGCUCGUAUUUCCUUAUCCUCGACUUCUAAGGAGACAGGAAACCAAGUUUGGUUGAUGAAUUGUGGCCAUGAGGCAAGACUAGAACGUUGACAUUCACCGUGUCCUUUGAGUCAUGGUUUAGUAGAUGAUCUGUCUCAGACAGACUCCCAAACUCUUUUUGCUGAUUUCAGUCACAUUGGCUGUCAACAGAUG